ACACGCAAAGCUGGAGAUGUCAGCACAAUUCCCUCCACCAUUUCUUCAAUAUGUGGAUAUGAAGCUGCCUGCAAUUUUGAACCUUAUUAACUCAGCAGUUCAAAGUAUCUUAAGGACGACGACUAAUGGACAUACACUACCUUUAAAACCACAGCUCCACCAGUUGAGUGACCAAAAAGGAAGCAAGGUACACCUGGGUUCUCUGCUUUUAUCUUUUCCAAGAAAAACCCCUGAAAA